rnacentral:rRNA from 1 species
UAGUCCACGCUGUAAACGAUGAGUGCUAGGUGUCGGGGGUGACCUCGGUGCCGCAGUUAACACAAUAAGCACUCCGCCUGGGGAGUACGUACGCAAGUAUGAAACUCAAAGGAAUUGACGGGGACCCGCACAAGCAGCGGAGCAUGUGGUUUAAUUCGAAGCAACGCGAAGAACCUUACCAGGACUUGACAUAAUGGUGACCGGUAUAGAGAUAUACCUUUCUCUUCGGAGACAGUAUUAC